GGAACUGAAACAUCUAAGUACCCCGAGGAAAAGAAAUCAACCGAGAUUCCCCCAGUAGCGGCGAGCGAACGGGGAGCAGCCCAGAGCCUGAAUCAGUGUGUGUGUUAGUGGAAGCGUCUGGAAAGGCGCGCGAUACAGGGUGACAGCCCCGUACACAAAAAUGCACAUGCUGUGAGCUCGAUGAGUAGGGCGGGACACGUGGUAUCCUGUCUGAAUAUGGGGGGACCAUCCUCCAAGGCUAAAUACUCCUGACUGACCGAUAGUGAACCAGUACCGUGAGGGAAAGGCGAAAAGAACCCCGGCGAGGGGAGUGAAAAAGAACCUGAAACCGUGUACGUACAAGCAGUGGGAGCACGCUUAGGCGUGUGACUGCGUACCUUUUGUAUAAUGGGUCAGCGACUUAUAUUCUGUAGCAAGGUUAACCGAAUAGGGGAGCCGAAGGGAAACCGAGUCUUAACUGGGCGUUAAGUUGCAGGGUAUAGACCCGAAACCCGGUGAUCUAGCCAUGGGCAGGUUGAAGGUUGGGUAACACUAACUGGAGGACCGAACCGACUAAUGUUGAAAAAUUAGCGGAUGACUUGUGGCUGGGGGUGAAAGGCCAAUCAAACCGGGAGAUAGCUGGUUCUCCCCGAAAGCUAUUUAGGUAGCGCCUCGUGAAUUCAUCUCCGGGGGUAGAGCACUGUUUCGGCAAGGGGGUCAUCCCGACUUACCAACCCGAUGCAAACUGCGAAUACCGGAGAAUGUUAUCACGGGAGACACACGGCGGGUGCUAACGUCCGUCGUGAAGAGGGAAACAACCCAGACCGCCAGCUAAGGUCCCAAAGUCAUGGUUAAGUGGGAAACGAUGUGGGAAGGCCCAGACAGCCAGGAUGUUGGCUUAGAAGCAGCCAUCAUUUAAAGAAAGCGUAAUAGCUCACUGGUCGAGUCGGCCUGCGCGGAAGAUGUAACGGGGCUAAACCAUGCACCGAAGCUGCGGCAGCGACGCUGAUGCGUUGUUGGGUAGGGGAGCGUUCUGUAAGCCUGCGAAGGUGUGCUGUGAGGCAUGCUGGAGGUAUCAGAAGUGCGAAUGCUGACAUAAGUAACGAUAAAGCGGGUGAAAAGCCCGCUCGCCGGAAGACCAAGGGUUCCUGUCCAACGUUAAUCGGGGCAGGGUGAGUCGACCCCUAAGGCGAGGCCGAAAGGCGUAGUCGAUGGGAAACAGGUUAAUAUUCCUGUACUUGGUGUUACUGCGAAGGGGGGACGGAGAAGGCUAUGUUGGCCGGGCGACGGUUGUCCCGGUUUAAGCGUGUAGGCUGGUUUUCCAGGCAAAUCCGGAAAAUCAAGGCUGAGGCGUGAUGACGAGGCACUACGGUGCUGAAGCAACAAAUGCCCUGCUUCCAGGAAAAGCCUCUAAGCAUCAGGUAACAUCAAAUCGUACCCCAAACCGACACAGGUGGUCAGGUAGAGAAUACCAAGGCGCUUGAGAGAACUCGGGUGAAGGAACUAGGCAAAAUGGUGCCGUAACUUCGGGAGAAGGCACGCUGAUAUGUAGGUGAAGUCCCUCGCGGAUGGAGCUGAAAUCAGUCGAAGAUACCAGCUGGCUGCAACUGUUUAUUAAAAACACAGCACUGUGCAAACACGAAAGUGGACGUAUACGGUGUGACGCCUGCCCGGUGCCGGAAGGUUAAUUGAUGGGGUCAGCGCAAGCGAAGCUCUUGAUCGAAGCCCCGGUAAACGGCGGCCGUAACUAUAACGGUCCUAAGGUAGCGAAAUUCCUUGUCGGGUAAGUUCCGACCUGCACGAAUGGCGUAAUGAUGGCCAGGCUGUCUCCACCCGAGACUCAGUGAAAUUGAACUCGCUGUGAAGAUGCAGUGUACCCGCGGCAAGACGGAAAGACCCCGUGAACCUUUACUAUAGCUUGACACUGAACAUUGAGCCUUGAUGUGUAGGAUAGGUGGGAGGCUUGGAAGUGUGGACGCCAGUCUGCAUGGAGCCGACCUUGAAAUACCACCCUUUAAUGUUUGAUGUUCUAACGUUGACCCGUAAUCCGGGUUGCGGACAGUGUCUGGUGGGUAGUUUGACUGGGGCGGUCUCCUCCUAAAGAGUAACGGAGGAGCACGAAGGUUGGCUAAUCCUGGUCGGACAUCAGGAGGUUAGUGCAAUGGCAUAAGCCAGCUUGACUGCGAGCGUGACGGCGCGAGCAGGUGCGAAAGCAGGUCAUAGUGAUCCGGUGGUUCUGAAUGGAAGGGCCAUCGCUCAACGGAUAAAAGGUACUCCGGGGAUAACAGGCUGAUACCGCCCAAGAGUUCAUAUCGACGGCGGUGUUUGGCACCUCGAUGUCGGCUCAUCACAUCCUGGGGCUGAAGUAGGUCCCAAGGGUAUGGCUGUUCGCCAUUUAAAGUGGUACGCGAGCUGGGUUUAGAACGUCGUGAGACAGUUCGGUCCCUAUCUGCCGUGGGCGCUGGAGAACUGAGGGGGGCUGCUCCUAGUACGAGAGGACCGGAGUGGACGCAUCACUGGUGUUCGGGUUGUCAUGCCAAUGGCACUGCCCGGUAGCUAAAUGCGGAAGAGAUAAGUGCUGAAAGCAUCUAAGCACGAAACUUGCCCCGAGAUGAGUUCUCCCUGACUCCUUGAGAGUCCUGAAGGAACGUUGAAGACGACGACGUUGAUAGGCCGGGUGUGUAAGCGCAGCGAUGCGUUGAGCUAACCGGUACUAAUGAACCGUGAGG
rnacentral:rRNA from 1 species